AGACGCGGAGCCAUGGCCGAGGUGUUGCGGACGCUGGCCGGUACCAGCACAUCUGGGCACUUUCUCCAUGGUCCGCUGUCCUAAUCCUGACUAUUUCAGCACCCAGGGAGCAAGCCAAGAACAAAAACACCUAUCAUCCAUGCCCGGCAUUAGAAAAUCUCAUUGUUGGUGAGAAUGAUGGUUUCCAGCUUCAUCCGUGUCCCUACAAAGGACAUGAACUCAUCGUUUUCUAUGGCUGCGUAGUAUUCCAUGGUGUAUAUGUGCCACAUUUUCUUAAUCCAGUCUAUCAUUGAUGGACAUUUGGGUUGGUUUCAAGUCUUUGCUAUUGUGAAUAGUGCUGCAAUAAACAUACGUGAGCAUGUGUCUCUAUGGAAGCAUGAUUUAUAAUCCUUUGGGUAUAUACCCAGUAAUGGGAUUGCUGGAUCAAAUGGUAUUUCUAGUUCAGCAAACUAUCCCAAGGACAAAAAAACCAAACACCGCAUGUUCUCACUCGUAGGUGGGAACUGAACAAGGAGAACACUUGGACACAGGAAGGGGAACAUCACACACCGGGGCCUGUCAUCGGGUGGGGGGAGGGGGGAGGGAUAGCAUUAGGAGAUAUACCUAAUGUAAAUGACGAGUUAAUGGGUGCAGCACACCAACAUGGCACAUGUAUACAUAUGUAACAAACCUGCACGUUGUGCACAUGUACCCUAGAACUUAAAGUAUAAUAAAAAAAU
rnacentral:lncRNA from 10 species